rnacentral:rRNA from 1 species
GUAGGUGAACCUGCGGAAGGAUCAUUACCAUUAAUCCAAACAACUCAACGAAGCCUUCAGUUGCAGCAGUGUGCUAGCUAGCGAAAGCAAGCAAUGCCGCAGUUGCAACAACAUAAAAACUAAUCACGCAAAGGAGCAUAACUAAGCUCAAUCACAAAAACCAAAUUCUCAACGGUGGAUAUCUUGGUUCCCAUAACGAUGAAGAACGCAGCGAAGUGCGAUAAGCAAUGCGAAUUGCAGAACCGUGAGUCAUCAGAUUUUUGAACGCAACUGGCGCCGGCUGGCUCUCCAGCCGGCAUGCUUGUUUCAGUGUCUCAUUUUCUCAUCACCCAAAUCUUAAUGCGAGAGAUACCCUUCUCUUGUCAAACACGAAAGCACUCUGCGCUUUGCAAGCGGCUUCUUCGACUAGUUCGAUAGCCGCACUCAAUGCAGCCGUCACAUUGCUCACAAUGUGAACUCAUUGAGAGCAGAGGCAGUGCAGCAUUAGCUGCAAAGUGCUUAGUCACUUAAACUUUUUUUGCAUCUGAAAUCAAGCAGGACCACCCGCUGAACUUAAGCAUAUCACUA